rnacentral:rRNA from 1 species
CCCUUAGAUGUCCUAGGCCGCACGCGCGUUACACUGAUGCAUUCAACGAGCUUAUAACCUUGGCCGAGAGGCCUGGGCAAUCUUGUUAACGUGCAUCGUGAUAGGGAUAGAUUAUUGAAAUUAUUAAUCUUGAACGAGGAAUCCCUAGUAAACGCAGAUCAUCAAUCUGCAUUGAUUACGUCCCUGCCCUUUGUACACACCGCCCGUCGCACCUACCGAUUGGAUGGUCCGGUGAAGCCUCGGGAUUGUGGUUCUUGCCGCUUUAUUGUGGCGUGACCGCGAGAACUUGUCUAAACCUUAUCAUCUAGAGGAAGGUGAAGUCGUAACA